UACGGAGGGAGCUAGCGUUGUUCGGAAUUACUGGGCGUAAAGCGUGCGCAGGCGGCUUUGCAAGACAGAUGUGAAAUCCCCGGGCUCAACCUGGGAACUGCAUUUGUGACUGCAUGGCUGGAGUGCGGCAGAGGGGGAUGGAAUUCCGCGUGUAGCAGUGAAAUGCGUAGAGAUCGGGUGGAACACCAGUGGCGAAGGCGGCAUCCUGGCCCUGACCUGACGCUGAGGCGCGAGAGCGUGGGGAGCAAACGGG
rnacentral:rRNA from 1 species